UGGGAAUAUUGCACAAUGGGCGCAAGCCUGAUGCAGCCAUGCCGCGUGUGUGAAGAAGGCCUUCGGGUUGUAAAGCACCUUCAGCGAGGAGGAAGGUGGUGGACUUAAUACGUUCAUCAAUUGACGUUACUCGCAGAAGAAGCACCGGCUAACUCCGUGCCAGCAGCCGCGGUAAUACGGAGGGUGCAAGUGUUAAUCGGAAUUACUGGGCGUAAAGCGCACGCAGGCGGUUUGUUAAGUCAGAUGUGAAGUCCCCGGGCUCAACCUGGGAACUGCAUUUGAAACUGGCAAGCUAGAGUCUCGUAGAGGGGGGUAGAAUUCCAGGUGUAGCGGUGAAAUGCGUAGAGAUCUGGAGGAAUACCGGUGGCGAAGGCGGCCCCCUGGACGAAGACUGACGCUCAGGUGCGAAAAGCGUGGGGAGCAAACAGAUUAGNUACCCUGGUAGUCACGCUGUAAACGAUGUCGAUUUUGGAGGUUGUG
rnacentral:rRNA from 1 species